rnacentral:rRNA from 1 species
CCUACGGGGGGCUGCAGUGGGGAAUAUUGCACAAUGGGCGCAAGCCUGAUGCAGCCAUGCCGCGUGUGUGAAGAAGGCCUUCGGGUUGUAAAGCACUUUCAGCGGGGAGGAAGGCGUUAAGGUUAAUAACCUUGUCGAUUGACGUUACCCGCAGAAGAAGCACCGGCUAACUCCGUGCCAGCAGCCGCGGUAAUACGGAGGGUGCAAGCGUUAAUCGGAAUUACUGGGCGUAAAGCGCACGCAGGCGGUCUGUCAAGUCGGAUGUGAAAUCCCCGGGCUCAACCUGGGAACUGCAUUCGAAACUGGCAGGCUAGAGUCUUGUAGAGGGGGGUAGAAUGCCAGGUGUAGCGGUGGAAUGCGUAGAGAUCUGGAGGAAUACCGGUGGCGAAGGCGGCCCCCUGGACAAAGACUGACGCUCAGGUGCGAAAGCGUGGGGAGCAAACAGGAUUUAGAUACCCUUGUAGUC